rnacentral:rRNA from 1 species
UACGUAGGGACCGAGCGUUGUCCGGAAUCAUUGGGCGUAAAGAGCGUGUAGGCGGCCUGUUAAGUCUUGCGUGAAAUCUCGGGGCUCAACCCCGAGCGGUCGUGAGAAACUGGCAGCUAGAGUGCGGGAGAGGAGAGUGGAAUUCCCCGGUGUAGCGGUGAAAUGCGCAGAUAUCGGGAAGAACACCCGUGGCGAAGGCGGCUCUCUGGGACGGUACUGACGCUGAGACCGCGAAAGCGUGGGGAGCGAACAGG